AACGAACGCUGGCGGCAUGCCUAACACAUGCAAGUCGAACGAGACCUUCGGGUCUAUUGGCGCACGGGUGCGUAACGCGUGGGAACCUGCCCUUAGGUUCGGAAUAACUCCCCGAAAGGGGUGCUAAUACCGGAUAAUGUCUUCGGACCAAAGAUUUAUCGCGUUUGGAUGGGCACGCGUUGGAUUAGCUAGUUGGUAGGGUAAAAGCCUACCAAGGCGACGAUUCAUAGCUGGUCUGAGAGGAUGAUCAGCCACACUGGGACUGAGACACGGCCCAGACUCCUACGGGAGGCAGCAGUGGGGAAUAUUGGACAAUGGGCGAAAGCCUGAUCCAGCAAUGCCGCGUGAGUGAUGAAGGCCUUAGGGUUGUAAAGCUCUUUUACCCGGGAUGAUAAUGACAGUACCGGGAGAAUAAGCUCCGGCUAACUCCGUG
rnacentral:rRNA from 1 species